rnacentral:tRNA from 1 species
GGGCCGGUGGUCUAGUUGGUUAGGACGCGACCCUCACACGGUCGAGAUCGGGAGUUCGAAUCUCCCCUGGCCCA